UACGGGGGGGGUAAGCGUUGUUCGGAAUUACUGGGCGUAAAGCGCACGUAGGCGGAUUUGUAAGUCAGGGGUGAAAUCCCGAGGCUCAACCUCGGAACUGCCUUUGAUACUGCAAAUCUCGAGUCCGGAAGAGGUGAGUGGAAUUCCUAGUGUAGAGGUGAAAUUCGUAGAUAUUAGGAAGAACACCAGUGGCGAAGGCGGCUCACUGGUCCGGUACUGACGCUGAGGUGCGAAAGCGUGGGGAGCAAACAGG
rnacentral:rRNA from 1 species